rnacentral:rRNA from 1 species
CUGAGCCAGAAAGUCGGGGCCUAAGGCGAGGACGAGAGUCGUAGCCGAUGGACAACAGGUGGAGAUUCCUGUACUGCGGUAUGACAGAACUGUGGGGACACGUAAGGAAAGCGGAAGCCGGGAAUGGAAAGCCCGGUGCAAGCGGGGUACCAGCCACUUUGGCAAAUCCGGGUGGCAAUGGGAAGCCGUGAUGCGGAGCGAAAUAAAGUAGCGAAGUCCGUGAGCCAUGCGUCAAGAAAAGCCGCUAUCGUUUAUACCGUACCCGUACCGUAAACCGACACAGGUGGAUGAGGAGAGAAUCCUAAGGCCGGCGGAAGAAGCAUUGUCAAGGAACUCGGCAAAAUGGCCCCGUAACUUAGGGAUAAGGGGUGCCUGGGAAACCAGGCCGCAGAGAAUAGGCUCAAGCAACUGUUUAGCAAAAACACAGGUCUAUGCGAAACCGAAAGGUGAGGUAUAUGGGCUGACGCCUGCCCGGUGCUGGAAGGUUAAGAGGAGAGGUUAGCGCAAGCGAAGCUUUGAAUUUAAGCCCCAGUAAACGGCGGCCGUAACAAUAACGGCCCUAAGGUAGCGAAAUUCCUUGUCGGGUAAGUUCCGACCCGCACGAAAGGCGUAAUGAUUUGAGCGCUGUCUCGACAAUGCAUCCGGUGAAAUUGAAGUACCAGUGAAGAUGCUGGUUACCUGCGCCAGGACGGAAAGACCCCAUGGAGCUUUACUCCAGUCUGGUACUGGGACUCGGUAUUGCAUGUACAGGAUAGGUGGGAGGCUGAGAAAUGGUAACGCCAGUUGCCAUGGAGCCGCUGUUGGGAUACCACCCUUGCAGUAUUGGGUUUCUAACCAGCCGCCGUGACCCGGCGGUGGGACAAUGCCAGACGGGGAGUUUGACUGGGGCGGUCGCCUCCGAAAGGGUAUCGGAGGCGCCCAAAGGUUCCCUCAGAAUGGACGGAAACCAUUCGAAGAGUGCAAAGGCAGAAGGGAGCUUGACUGCGACACCGACGGGUGGAGCAGGUACGAAAGUAGGGCUUAGUGAUCCGGUGGUAUUAAGUGGGAAUGCCAUCGCUCAACGGAUAAAACCUACCCUGGGAUAACAGGCUUAUCACUCCCAAGAGUUCACAUCGACGGAGUGGUUUGGCACCUCGAUGUCGGCUCAUCGCAUCCUGGGGCUGUAGCAGGUCCCAAGGGUUGGGCUGUUCGCCCAUUAAAGCGGUACGCGAGCUGGGUUCAGAACGUCGUGAGACAGUUCGGUCCCUAUCCGGCGUGGCGUAGGAUAUCUGAGAGGAGCUGUCCUUAGUACGAGAGGACCGGGAUGGACGGGCCGCUGGUGCAUCGGUUAGACUGCCAAGUCUACGGCCGAGUAGCCAAGCCCGGAAGGGAUAAACGCUGAAGGCAUCUAAGCGUGAAGCCCCCCUUAAGAUGAGAUAUCCCAUUCGAAAGAAGUAAACCCCCUUGAAGACGACGAGGUAGAUAGGGCAGAGGUGGAAGUGCAGCAAUGCAUGGAGCUGACUGUUACUAAUCGGGUGAGGGCUUGACCUA